UCGCAAAAGCUCCCCCCCACAAAAUCCCGAAGAGACGCAGUAACUGUGGGUGCUGCGGGCUGGCUUUGAAUAAAAAAUGUGACCCUCAAAAACCCUAACCCUAACCUUAAAGGCUUAAACCCCAGAAGUUGAAUUCUUAAUGCCUGAAGAAGACCCUUCAAACUUUGAUAUAUAAAGAAUUCGGAAGGAUGUCGGGAAGGGGAGGAGAUAGUGACUCCGACGAUGCAGCCCCCGAGGAAUUCACCUCUCAACAGGGAAUCGAACAAGAUGAAGAAAUAACUAGACUCCAAAAAGAAAAUAAGGCCAGAGUUGUUCGCGAGGGAAAAGACCGUCGGAGAAGAUGGGCUCAAAAGGUAACUCCACGACCCUUGGGAGAGGAGGAAAGCAUUGAAGAUGCGAAGGAAAUUGAACCAAAACAAGAGUCCCUUGAUUACCAGGGAAUGCUGCCAGAUGAAAUUGUGAAACUUCUUGCAGCUGGCGAGAAGAAAGUUUUUUCAUCGGAUUCAGAAGAAGAAAAACCAAAGAAAAAGCCCAGCUCAGCGAAGAAGAAGAGAACGAAAAGACCAGGGCUAGAACCUAUUAUUCUAGAGGAGAUACCACCGGCUCAAUGUUUACAGAGUUCACUGGAGUUUCUGAAGAAACGGAAAAUGCAGAUUUCAAGAUCAUCUGCUGUUCUGAACAAUUCAGAUCAAGCAUUGCGGCUCCUUUCUACUUCAGGGUUACUGUCUAAGAAAUGAUAAGUAACAGCUUCCUUGGUACACAUGCUCAGGGGGAUCCACAUGCUGUUGUAAAAAAAGCGAGGAUAGUUUAUGUCUCUCAUCAUGGUACACCUUACAUUCUCCAUUGAGAAAGUAAAAAGUGGAAUUGAUAGUAAAGAUUGCAUUUAUGUCAACAGCUGCAGAAGAUCCAUUAAUCAAGAAAGUUGCUGAUAAUUAUUCAGUGGAACUAAUUGCCAAGUGUAUGCGGCAUUGGGAUGCGGAUGUUUUAGUCAGUAGACUGAAUUUCCUCCAUAUCAAAAUGACACCAAACACCACAAGGCAGUACUUCUUCAACGAAUGAUGAAACUAAUGGGUGCAUUUGUGCUGACUAAAGAUUUUGUCAUAUUCCGUUUUGCUCGUUAAAAUGAAUAUUAAGCUGUUGCAAGCCACUACAAGCUUUGCCUUCUCAUGCGAGAUUCCAAAGAGGAGCCACCUACCGUGGAAGAUUUAUGGAUUUUUAUUCUGCGCUAGAGAUUUUAAAAUACUUGACUA